rnacentral:tmRNA from 1 species
GGGGGCGAAUUGGGUUCGACCGGGCAAGUGAAGUUUAAGUUGCGUGUCGUGGUUGGUCAGCGGGCCACGUUAAAAGCCGACUAAUAAAUUCAAAUGCCGAACCUAAAUUGGCAUUGGCUGCCUAAGAAAAGGCAACCCCGAAUCCAUACUGUCGCCGAAAUAGUGUGACAUUCGGACGUAAUUUCGGAUCGUUUCCGUUCAUGUCGAUUACAACGGAAAUUAAAAAAUGUUGUCGAAUCGUUUGAGAAAGACCGUUGCCGAUAAGGGCUCGAUCAGACUAAAAAACAAAAAAUCGGAUACACACGUAGAUGCUUAUUCGGAACUGUUUCGGGACGCGGGUUCAAUUCCCGCCGCCUCCAGUU